GCCGGGGUACCUCAGCUGGCCAGAGGCUCACGGCCACAGGGCCGCGCUCAUAACGCGGUUGUCGUGGGUUCGAAUCCCACCCCCGGCA
rnacentral:tRNA from 1 species